AUUGAACGCUGGCGGCAUGCUUUACACAUGCAAGUCGAACGGUAACAGGCCGCAAGGUGCUGACGAGUGGCGAACGGGUGAGUAAUGCAUCGGAACGUGCCCAGUCGUGGGGGAUAACGCAGCGAAAGCUGUGCUAAUACCGCAUACGAUCCAUGGAUGAAAGCGGGGGACCGUAAGGCCUCGCGCGAUUGGAGCGGCCGAUGUCAGAUUAGGUAGUUGGUGGGGUAAAGGCCCACCAAGCCAACGAUCUGUAGCUGGUCUGAGAGGACGACCAGCCACACGGGGACUGAGACACGGCCCAGACUCCUACGGGAGGCAGCAGUGGGGAAUUUUGGACAAUGGGCGCAAGCCUGAUCCAGCAAUGCCGCGUGCAGGAAGAAGGCCUUCGGGUUGUAAACUGCUUUUGUACGGAACGAAACGGUCCGGGCUAAUACCCUGGGCUAAUGACGGUACCGUAAGAAUAAGCACCGGCUAACUACGUGCCAGCCGCCGCCGUAAUAC
rnacentral:rRNA from 1 species